rnacentral:rRNA from 1 species
AUGAAAUAUGGAAAGAGUACAGCAAAGCUGACUCCAGAUAUGCCACCGGGAACACCACAACCAUCGCGGUUGAAGUCAUUGCGGUUUUUCUACAAGGCCCUUUAUCACUUCUUGCUGUCUCCCCGCCCUGUGAAAAUUGCCACGCUCGACUACUACAAACCUGCCACCAGGUUUCACACCGUCGAGCUUUUCCCCGUCCGUCGAUCCGGAAGCAAGGCCGUGCUCCUCGCUGCGAAAUUUCUUCUAGGGAUUUCAUCCUUUCUCGAUGGUGAACCGCUCAGACGGUGCUCUGGCUUCUGGGUCGAUUGGGAUGAGGAGAAGAAAACUGGCCUUGUUUUGACAACUGCGCGGCUGAUUCGCACAAAGGAUGCUCCUUACAGUGUCUGGUCAGGCGGUGAAGAGUAUGCUACAGAUGCUGAUGUCACUGUUCAUUUGCUAAAUGGCACCAGUGCAAAGGGCCAGCUGGUCUAUCUCCAGCCCCACUACGAGCUCGCUUUCCUGAGCGUUCAGGUGGAUCAACCAAUCAACUUGCCAUCUUUGAAUGAAAAAGAUGUAGAAUUUGCUCAAGAGGUUUUUCGGCUCGGAAGAGACAAUUCCUUAAAUCUAAGGAUAACAUAUGCCAGGGCAGAAUAUUUGAAUCCAACCAUGUUUGAGCGGCACCACAAUGUAUACUUCCGUUCUCCAGAUGGCCAUGGUGAUGAUAAUGAGUUUGACUAUGGGGGGCCAGUUAUUGACCUGUGUGGAGAAGUUGUCGGAAUGGUCAACGACCCUAAGAGAUUUGGGUCUUUUAUACCUUCUUCCAUUUUGCUCAAUUGUUUGGAUUCAUCGAAGAAAUAUCAGCACAUCGCCAGGCCUCAUCUUGGAUUGAUGUUUAAGGACAUCAAACUUCUAGAACCUGCUCAUGUUGACAUGUUAUGGCGUAAGUUUAACAUUGAUGAUGGUCUUAUUGUUGAAGAGGUGUCGGGAGGAUCUCCUGUUGAGAAAUUUGGAAUCCAAAAAGGUGAUAUUAUUGAAUCUUUCAGUGGAAAGCCUGUUUCUUCCACAAUUGAGCUGGAAAAUACACUGAUGAGCAUAUACAAGGGAACCUUAGAUGCUGAAGUUCUUAUUUCUGUUGGGGUGUUUCACACACUCAAAGAACAACGGAGCACUGUAGACUUGACUGCAAAAUUAUCAGAACUUGGAGAGGUUAUUACAAGAUGUACAAAUGUCUAUAGAAUAUUUUAG